rnacentral:rRNA from 1 species
UACGGAGGGGGCUAGCGUUGUUCGGAAUUACUGGGCGUAAAGCGCACGUAGGCGGCUUUGUAAGUUAGAGGUGAAAGCCCGGAGCUCAACUCCGGAAUUGCCUUUAAGACUGCAUCGCUUGAACAUCGGAGAGGUAAGUGGAAUUCCGAGUGUAGAGGUGAAAUUCGUAGAUAUUCGCAAGAACACCAGUGGCGAAGGCGGCUCACUGGCUCGGUACUGACGCUGAGGUGCGAAAGCGUGGGGAGCAAACAGG